AUUGAACGCUGGCGGAAUGCUUUACACAUGCAAGUCGAACGGUAGAGGGGGCAACCCCUCGAGAGUGGCGAACGGGUGAGUAAUAUAUCGGAACGUGCCCAUUCGUGGGGGAUAACGUAGCGAAAGUUACGCUAAUACCGCAUACGAUCUAAGGAUGAAAGCGGGGGAUAGCAAGACCUCGCGCGAUUGGAGCGGCCGAUAUCAGAUUAGGUAGUUGGUGGGGUAAAGGCUCACCAAGCCAACGAUCUGUAGCUGGUCGGAGAGAACGACAAGCCACACUGGAACUGAGACACGGUCCAGACUCCUACGGGAGGCAGCCGUGGGGAAUUUUGGACAAUGGACGCAAGUCUGAUCCAGCCAUUCCGCGUGCAGGAUGAAGGCCCUCGGGUUGUAAACUGCUUUUGUACGGAACGAAAAGGUCUCUCUUAAUACGGGGGGCUCAUGACGGUACCGUAAGAAUAAGCACCGGCUAACUACGUGCCAGCAGCCGCAGUAA
rnacentral:rRNA from 1 species